UGUGACCACUCGAACAAGACUAGUGAUCUGGACCUCAGAUGAAGAGGUCCUCCUUCUCAAUGCCACACUCCGACCCAAGGCAUGAGAAGAGUCUGAGGUGGUUGUGCCAGAAGGCCUCGAAUUGGCCUCGCUUGGGUGUCGGGAGUUCAACUAUACCCUUCUUUCUAUUCUAGGCCAUGCACCAAACUGACUCAAGCUCCUCAGGCUUCAUAUCUGAAACAAAAGGCCGAGGUAGAAAAAUUAGGACCCUAUGGAUAGGAUAAAGCUAAAACAAAUUACAAUGGGAGCUUACCAUAA
rnacentral:lncRNA from 1 species